AGAGUUUGAUCAUGGCUCAGGAUGAACGCUAGCGGCAGGCUUAACACAUGCAAGUCGAGGGGCAGCACGGGUAGCAAUACCUGGUGGCGACCGGCGCAAGGGUGCGUAACGCGUGAGCAACAUGCCCUAUACAGGGGGAUAAUCCAGGGAAACUUGGUCUAAUAUCCCAUAGUAUUUAGAGGAGGCAUCUUCUAUAAAUUAAAGCUUCGGUGGUAUAGGAUUGGCUCGCGUGACAUUAGCUAGAUGGUGAGGUAACGGCUCACCAUGGCAAUGAUGUCUAGGGGUUCUGAGAGGAAGGCCCCCCACACUGGGACUGAGACACGGCCCAGACUCCUACGGGAGGCAGCAGUGAGGAAUAUUGGACAGUGGAUGGAAAUCUGAUCCAGCCAUGCCGCGUGCAGGAAGACAGCCCUAUGGGUUGUAAACUGCUUUUAUAUGGGAGCAAUAAGGUCUACGUGUAGACUGAUGAGAGUACCAUAUGAAUAAGCAUCGGCUAACUCCGUGCCAGCAGCCGCGGUAAUACGGAGGAUGCGAGCGUUAUCCGGAUUUAUUGG
rnacentral:rRNA from 1 species